rnacentral:rRNA from 1 species
UACGUAGGGUGCAAGCGUUAAUCGGAAUUACUGGGCGUAAAGCGUGCGCAGGCGGUUUUGUAAGUCUGUCGUGAAAGCCCCGGGCUCAACCUGGGAAUUGCGAUGGAGACUGCAAGGCUUGAAUCUGGCAGGAGGGGGUAGAAUUCCACGUGUAGCAGUGAAAUGCGUAGAGAUGUGGAGGAACACCGAUGGCGAAGGCAGCCCCCUGGGUCAAGAUUGACGCUCAUGCACGAAAGCGUGGGGAGCAAACAGG